GACGAACGCUGGCGGCGUGCUUAACACAUGCAAGUCGAACGGUAAGGCCCUUCGGGGUACACGAGUGGCGAACGGGUGAGUAACACGUGGGUGAUCUGCCGUGCACUUCGGGAUAAGCCUGGGAAACUGGGUCUAAUACCGGAGAGGACCCCGGCCUGCAUGGUCUGGGGUGGAAAGCUUUUGCGGCGUGGGAUGGGCCCGCGGCCUAUCAGCUUGUUGGUGGGGUGAUGGCCUACCAAGGCGACGACGGGUAGCCGGCCUGAGAGGGUGACCGGCCACACUGGGACUGAGAUACGGCCCAGACUCCUACGGGAGGCAGCAGUGGGGAAUAUUGCACAAUGGGCGCAAGCCUGAUGCAGCGACGCCGCGUGAGGGAUGACGGCCUUCGGGUUGUAAACCUCUUUCAGCAUCGACGAAGCGAAGUGACGGUAGGUGCAGAAGAAGGACCGGCCAACUACGUGCCAGCAGCCGCCGUAA
rnacentral:rRNA from 1 species